UGCAUACCUCUUCAGUUAUGCGUCAUGACUUGUAUCGUCUUGAGCGUAUUGUGGGUUUCCUGUGUUGCAUACCUUUCUAAUGGUAUCGUGUUGAUUGAUCGAAGUCCCUUUUCAUCUUGUGUUGCUUUUUGCGACGCAUGAUGAACCUCGAGGCGGUCUCUAUGUUCCACCACGUUGAUGCUAGCGUUUUAAUGUUGUGGCCCAUUGAGUGUUGCUUGGUUUCGYGGAUACAGAACAUGAUUUGGGCAUAGGGUUACUUGUGACUCUUGUUUUGUCCUUUAUCUGUGUUCUUUAUAACGACGGUUCAUGCGCGCCUAGGCUCGUACCUGCGYGAUGUUCUUUGUCGAAGAGGAAUGCUACCUGGUUGAUCCUGCCAGUAGUCAUAUGCUUGUCUCAAAGAUUAAGCCA
rnacentral:misc_RNA from 1 species